UGCAAGUCGAACCGGUAGCACAGAGGAGCUUGCUCCUUGGGUGACGAGUGGCGGACGGGUGAGUAAUGUCUGGGAAACUGCCCGAUGGAGGGGGAUAACUACUGGAAACGGUAGCUAAUACCGCAUAACGUCGCAAGACCAAAGAGGGGGACCUUCGGGCCUCUUGCCAUCGGAUGUGCCCAGAUGGGAUUAGCUAGUAGGUGGGGUAACGGCUCACCUAGGCGACGAUCCCUAGCUGGUCUGAGAGGAUGACCAGCCACACUGGAACUGAGACACGGUCCAGACUCCUACGGGAGGCAGCAGUGGGGAAUAUUGCACAAUGGGCGCAAGCCUGAUGCAGCCAUGCCGCGUGUAUGAAGAAGCCUUCGGGUUGUAAAGUACUUUCAGCGAGGAGGAAGGCAUAAGGUUAAUAACCUUAGUGAUUGACGUUACUCGCAGAAGAAGACCGGCUAACUCCGUGCCACAGCCGCGGUAAACGGGGGUGCAGCGUUAAUCGGAAUACUGGGCGUAAGCGCACGCAGGCGGUCUGUCAAGUCGGAUUGAAAUCCCCGGGCUCAACCUGGGAACUGCUCCGAAACUGAAGGUAAAGUUUGAAAGGGGGUAG
rnacentral:rRNA from 1 species